CCAGUCGGCCGGGCAGCCGCGCUUUACCAAUGCCGAAAGGCGGUAAGGGGAGGAAAGUCCGGGCUCCACGGAAACACGGUGCCGGAUAACGUCCGGCGAGGGCGACCUCAGGGAAAGUGCCGCAGAAAGUAAACCGCCCCGCUUGCGGGGUAAGGGUGAAAGGGUGGGGUAAGAGCCCACCGCGUCGCUGGUGACAGGGAUGGCAAGGUAAACCCCACCGGGAGCAAGACCGAAUAGGGAUGACGCGGGCCGCACUCCGGUGUGGCCACAGCCUGUUUCCGGGCCAGUCAUCCGGGUGGGUUGCGUGAGGCAGCGUGUAAACGCUGUCCCAGAUGAAUGGCUGCCACGUUCCGGGAAACCGGAGCCAUACAGAACCCGGCUUACAGGCCGACUGGCAAU
rnacentral:RNase_P_RNA from 1 species